UGAAGUAUAGCUCAGUGGUAGAGCAGUGGUCUCCAAAAUCACGUGCCGAGGGUUCGAUUCCUUCUGCUUCAG
rnacentral:tRNA from 1 species